rnacentral:lncRNA from 1 species
UUUUUUUCUUUUUUUUUUGAGAUGGAGUCUCACUCUGUCACCCAGGCUGGAGUGCGGUGGCGCAAUCUGGGCUCACUGCAACCUCCGCCUCCCAGGUUCAUUCUCCUGCCUCAAUCUCCCAAGUAACUAGCCAGGACUACAGCCUGCUGGGAUUAAGGCUAAUUUUUGUAUUUUUUAGUAGAGACGUGGUUUCACCAUGUUAGCCAGGAUGGUCUCGAUCUCCUGAUUACGUGAUCCACCCGCCUCAGCCUCCCAAAGUGCUGGGAUUACAGGCGUGAGCCACAGCGCCCAGCCUGAUCUGGCAAUUCUUAUGGGUAUAUGCCAAAAAGAAUGGAAAGCACUGACUCCAACAGAUAUUUGUGCACUCAGGUUCAUAAUAGCCAAAAGGUAGAAACAACAGAUGAAUGGUUAAACAAAAUGUGGUAUACACAUACAAUGCAAUAUCAUUCAUCCUUUAAAAGGAGGACGAUUCUGACACAUAUGACAACAUGGAUGAACCUUGAGGACAUUAUGCUAAGUGAAAUAAGCCAGUCAUGAUGUAGCAGGACAAAACCCCUCAGACAUUGAGAUAGUGAAGGGAGUGGCUUUAAUCAGCUGGGAGCAUCAGUAGGCUAGCGUCUUAAAAUCCGAGCUCGUCAGGUGCUCAACUUCUGUCCCUUUCAAGGGCUCACAACUCUAAGGGGGUCCGCUGACUCAACUUCUGUCCCUUUCAAGGGCUCACAACUCUAAGGGGGUCCGCGUGAGAGGGUCGUGAUUGAUUGAGCGAGCCAGGGGUUACCUGACAGGGGCUGCAAGCACCGGUGGUCAGAGUGAAACAGAACAGAAUGGGAGGUUUCACAGUGUCCUUCCAUACAAUGUCUGGAAUCUGUACAUAACAACAGUUGCUAGGUCAGGGGUCGAAUUUUAACUACCAGGCUUAGGUCAGGCAGGCCCAGGCCUGGUUUCGGGUCUGGUUCCUGGGCGCUGGGCUACCUGCCUUUAGUUUCGCUUCUCUUUUCUUUUCUGAGUAUAAAACAACAUAAAACAAUAUAAAGGGUCUCACUCUUCCCUCAACGCAAGAACAAAAUCUGUGUGAUUCUACUUAUACGAGGUUCCUAGAGCAGUCAAAUCCACAGAGACAGAACGUAACCCGGUGGUUGUCAGGAGUUAUGGGGACGGAGGAAUGGUCGGUUGGUGUUUAAUUGGUAUGGAGUUUCAGUUUGGGAAGAUGGAAAAUUUCUGGAGAUAGAUGGUGGUGAGGGCUGC